CUACGGGCUGCUGCAGUGGGGAAUAUUGCACAAUGGGCGCAAGCCUGAUGCAGCCAUGCCGCGUGUAUGAAGAAGGCCUUCGGGUUGUAAAGUACUUUCAGCGGGGAGGAAGGGAGUAAAGUUAAUACCUUUGCUCAUUGACGUUACCCGCAGAAGAAGCACCGGCUAACUCCGUGCCAGCAGCCGCGGUAAUACGGAGGGUGCAAGCGUUAAUCGGAAUUACUGGGCGUAAAGCGCACGCAGGCGGUUUGUUAAGUCAGAUGUGAAAUCCCCGGGCUCAACCUGGGAACUGCAUCUGAUACUGGCGAGCUUGAGUCUCGGAGAGGGGGGUAGAAUUCCAGGUGUAGCGGUGAAAUGCGUAGAGAUCUGGAGGAAUACCGGUGGCGAAGGCGGCCCCCUGGACGAAGACUGACGCUCAGGUGCGAAAGCGUGGGGAGCAAACAGGAUUAGAUACCCGAGUAGUC
rnacentral:rRNA from 1 species